GUAGUCCACGCCGUAAACCAUGAUUACUAGUUGUUUGCAAUAUACCGCAAGUGACCAAGCGAAAGCGAUAAGUAAUCCACCUGGGGAGUACGCCGGCAACGGUGAAACUCAAAGGAAUUGACGGGGGCCCGCACAAGCGGAGGAACAUGUGGUUUAAUUCGAUGAUACGCGAGGAACCUUACCCGGGCUUGAAAUGCAUUUGACCGUCGAAGAAAUUUGACCUCUAGCAAUAGCAAAUGCGUAGGUGCUGCAUGGUUGUCGUCAGCUCGUGCCGUGAGGUGUCGGCUUAAGUGCCAUAACGAGCGCAACCCACAUUGUUAGUUACUAACAGAUCAAGCUGAGGACUCUAACAAGACUGCCAGCGUAAGCUGCGA
rnacentral:rRNA from 1 species